AGUGAAAUGCAAUUACAAUUUUCUUUCAAUCUCAAAAAAGGAUGUAUGUUAUCAUCCACUCUUGGAAUGCAUUUUGCCUUUUUUUUCUUAGGUGGGUCUUUGGGCUAUGAAAAGACCAAACGGACCCCAGGAUCAUCUACUAGUCAAGCAGCCAGCCCACUACGACUUUAUACAAAAAAGAAGUGGCCCAGAUGGACUACUAUAUGAAGAACUGUUUACCGAAGAAAUUAUAUUGGUGGAUUCAUUGGCAGCCUGUAAGUCGGACUCGGACUCUUCUGCACCACUUCUUCCAUGAAAAGUUUACCCUUUUUCUCACAUAAAGAGCACAGCAGUUCGAUUUCAGUCACUCGGGUCGCUUGGUCCGAGUUAAUACAGGAAUGCAAUAUCCUUUCAUCUUCAAUUAUCUUUAAUGUUUCUUCUCUCUCAAGCAUUUCCCAUGCAAAUCCCCACUAGACCUGUCCAUGGGCUGGGGCGGCCCGGCCUGGCCCGACGGCCCGCCCGAAAUAUGGGAGAGUUCGGGUAAAAAUAUAGGCCCAAAAUAUGGGCUUGGGCAAAAAAUGAGGCCCGUUUAAAAAAUGGGCCGGGCUCGGGCUCAACUUUUUUGGCCUAAGCCCGGCCCGGCCCGGCCCGAAUAUAAUAAAUAUAUAUAUUUUUUAUUUUAAAAUACUUUAAAAACAUUUUUUUUAUUUUUUUAUUUUUAAAAUAUUUUUUUUGUUUAUUAAAAAUCGAGCCGGGCCGGGCUCGGGCUUAUUAUUUUUUCCCGGGCCAGGCCUGGGUAAAAUUUUAGGCCCAUAUUUUGGGCCGGGCCCGGGCCUAAGAGUCGGGCCAAAUUUUUUUCUCGGGCCCGGCCCAAACCCGGCCCGGCCCAUGGACAGGACUAAAUCCCCACAAAUCCAACUCUUUCUUACCUCUAUCAUUCCACCUUUAUUUUCCCUGCCGACAAUUGCUAACAUCAACACAUCUACUUUCCUUUUGGCAAUGAACGGGUGAACAUCGAUCAGCCUAGCAAGAGAAUGAACCCUUUGUCUCUCGUGACUAGCAUUUUAAUUUCCCAUGGUAAAUGUACUGCCCAUCCAAACCCACCCUAAGAAGAAUGCAAGAACUUAUCAACAAGAUGACUAAUAUUGCAACAAGAAGAUUAAGUGGGAUGUUAAUGAAUUGACUAGUAAGCUUAUUUAGAAGAAGUAAGAUCAAAGAGUCAAUGAAAUCAUUCCAUCAACCUUAUAGGUCAAGAAGCUGGCAAAGGACUUCAGGUAAAAACCAACAAAUUAAAAAAAAGAAAAGAAAAAUGCACUUGUCCAUGUCUCUAACAAUGAAAGAACAAAUGAUAGAUAAAUGUCACUUUUGUAAGAAGUAGGACACUAUCAUUGCUAAAAAAUGCAAAGCUUGGUUGGAAAAGAAAAAUAACUUUUAUUUUUCUAUAUGUUUCCAAUCAAACUUAAUUGAAGUUUCUAAUAAUAUUUGACUCUAAUUAAAGGCAUAGAGAUAUAUCGUUUGGUUUUAGAUACUGGCUAUCACUUAGACCUAUUUCAGAUUAUUUAUGUACCUUCAGUUUGUGAAUUUUAUUGCUAUUUCAAAAAACUUGUUGUUUUUAGGUUUAAUGUUAAGUUUGGAUAUGAUUAUUUCAUUUUAUUUAAUAAUAACACUAUUUUUUGUUUUUA